UACAGAGGGUGCAAGCGUUGUUCGGAAUUAUUGGGCGUAAAGCGCGUGUAGGCGGCUUUGCAAGUCGGGUGUGAAAGCCCUCGGCUUAACCGAGGAAGUGCGCCCGAAACUGCAGAGCUUGAGUACCGGAGAGGAUGGCGGAAUUCCCCAAGUAGAGGUGAAAAUUCGUAGAUAUGGGGAGGAACACCGGUGGCGAAGGCGGCCAUCUGGACGGAUACUGACGCUGAGACGCGAAAGCGUGGGGAGCGAACAGG
rnacentral:rRNA from 1 species